rnacentral:tRNA from 1 species
AUCCGUCGAUUUUAGAAAUCGUGAAGGUUCAAGUCCC